CUACGGGGAGCUGCAGUGGGGAAUAUUGCACAAUGGGCGCAAGCCUGAUGCAGCCAUGCCGCGUGUAUGAAGAAGGCCUUCGGGUUGUAAAGUACUUUCAGCGGGGAGGAGGGGAGUAAAGUUAAUACCUUUGCUCAUUGACGUUACCCGCAGAAGAAGCACCGGCUAACUCCGUGCCAGCAGCCGCGGUAAUACGGAGGGUGCAAGCGUUAAUCGGAAUUACUGGGCGUAAAGCGCACGCAGGCGGUUUGUUAAGUCAGAUAUGAAAUCCCCGGGCUCAACCUGGGAACUGCAUCUGAUACUGGCAAGCGUGAGUCUCGUAGAGGGGGGUAGAAUUCCAGGUGUAGCGGUGAAAUGCGUAGAGAUCUGGAGGAAUACCGGUGGCGAAGGCGGCCCCCUGGACGAAGACUGACGCUCAGGUGCGAAAGCGUGGGGAGCAAACAGGAUUAGAUACCCGCGUAGUC
rnacentral:rRNA from 1 species